GCUGGGGCGCGAUUCACAUCUCAACCGAAAUAUUUGUAAAGCGAUACGAACGAGUUACGAGAUGAAAUCCGCAAUGUUCAAAAACGCGAUUCAUAACACACAUACUUUGAUCUCGUUUUCAUAUCGCUAGUUCGUAUUUGGAUGGCUUGAGUGAAAUGAAUGAAACUAUAUUUUUUUAAUUGCCAUGCAAAAAUUAUAAAUACUACCACUAAUUGUUUUAAAUAAUUUUGUUCCUACAAUAUAUUUUGUUGGAAUUAGUGACGAUAGCAAGUAUCAAAAAACGGCUUUUUAAUUCAACGUUGAAGAAAUUCAUAACCUGUGGCACUUUUGACAGCCGCCAUGUUUUCUUUUCUACAUAAGAUGUUUUCUUAUUUUCGUGUCAACGUAGUUUUUUUGGAAAAUAAGAAGAAAGGAAGUUUAACUAACUUAGAGAAAUACGACUGAGACAUGUAAGUAUCAAUGUAUUAACCUAUUUUUUUUGAAAUAUAAAUGUUACCGGUUGUAGUCAAGAAGGUAUUGUAAUUUACGAUGUAUCCAAUUUCUGUUUUGAAUUGUUUUAGAAUCAUAAACGAGAUGAACACAAGCAGCAGCCGAUGUGCUUGAGUUGCAGAAGGAGCAACUGCGCUGUGAGAGGGCGACGGCUUCAGCCCUCACAAUGAUAGCUGAUUAGCUGAAGCAAUGAACAGACAGGCUGCAGUCAAUGAGAGGCUUCUUGAGGAGGGGCUCCUCAUAUGGAAAAAGGCUAACGAAAAGAACAAUCAAGACUGGCGGUGCGUGGGAGGAUCCCGUCCCUGCGCAUGCGCCUGGCCUUCAAUGGCCUCACGCCUCUCUUCUUCCUCUUCUUCAUGCGUCAAUUCAAACAGAGGAGCACCUGUGAUUACUGAUUACCUAAGUUCCUAUAUACAAUAAUAGUUUAAUAAUUGUUUACAAAAUAUUGUAUGUAUAAGUAUUAAUAAUAAAAUUAUACAAAAGGCUUAAAGCAUUUUGUACCAGCCAACCUAUAGGAGAGAAUAUGAGAAAAAUAAUAAGACAUUAUCUGUAGCUUUAUUAAGUGGUAAAGGGACCUAAUUACUACCUAUAUUUUUUUAGUAUUUGUGAUAAUUCAUAGAAUUUAUUAGUUCUAUCAAUAAAUAAAAUAUACAUGCAUUACAAUGUGUUUAAUUCAUUAACUUACAAUUUGCACACUGAGGGAA